rnacentral:rRNA from 1 species
GACGAACGCUGGCGGCGUGCUUAACACAUGCAAGUCGAACGGAAAGGCCCUGCUUUUGUGGGGUGCUCGAGUGGCGAACGGGUGAGUAACACGUGAGUAACCUGCCCUUGACUUUGGGAUAACUUCAGGAAACUGGGGCUAAUACCGGAUAGGAGCUCCUGCUGCAUGGUGGGGGUUGGAAAGUUUCGGCGGUUGGGGAUGGACUCGCGGCUUAUCAGCUUGUUGGUGGGGUAGUGGCUUACCAAGGCUUUGACGGGUAGCCGGCCUGAGAGGGUGACCGGCCACAUUGGGACUGAGAUACGGCCCAGACUCCUACGGGAGGCAGCAGUGGGGAAUAUUGCACAAUGGGCGGAAGCCUGAUGCAGCAACGCCGCGUGCGGGAUGACGGCCUUCGGGUUGUAAACCGCUUUCGCCUGUGACGAAGCGUGAGUGACGGUAAUGGGUAAAGAAGCACCGGCUAACUAGGUG